rnacentral:misc_RNA from 1 species
CACAGGGCAGGGUGCUGGCUAACGGCCAGUCGAGGCGACUCGCAGGAAAGUGCCACAGAAAACAGACCGCCUGUCCUCGCAAGGGGGCGGGUAAGGGUGAAACGGUGCGGUAAGAGCGCACCGCGUCCGGGGUGACUCGGACGGCACGGUAAACCCCACCUGGAGCAAGAGCCAAUAGGAGCGCGUCCCCGCAAGGGGACAGGGAUGGCCCGUCCCAUGCGUUCGGGUUGCUCGCUGAUGAGGUCCCUGGGCAACCAGGGCCCUAGAUGAAUGUUCGCCGCCCAUCCCGAAAGGGGUGGGG